CCCACUUGGGCAGAGGGAUGCUCCUCCUCUCACCGCAGGCUCCCUCUGCUUGAGCUUGGACAUCCUGCUUUUGCUAAGAGUGUGCCAGGGAUGUCUUGCAGGGGCUGAGAGUGGAAAGGAGCUAAAGGUAAGUCUAAAAGGGCUGUGAUACCUGAAGCUGUUUGUCCUGGAGAGAACUGGACCCUAGGAGGCUCUGCCUGAACGUGAGGAAACACUUCUUUGCUGUGAGUGGAAAGGGGCUAAAGGUGAUCCUGCCUUGUCAGAGGGGUUGGACUCAACGAUUUCUGGAGGUUCUUUUCAACCUCAAACGUUCUGGGAAAAAUGCAUUGAAAUGCAUACUGUGAAAUAAAAUACUGUGAAAGCUGAAGAAAAGGACACAGCAGCCUGGCCAGAAACUGUCUUCCAUCUCCAGAGGAAGCUGGUGAAUGCCCCUGCUAGCAUUACUGCCUCUGAUGUAUAGUUCACUCCAGCUGAAGACCAUUUCCUCACUGUUCUCUUCUAGCCAUGUAUUAAUUAGAUCCAGCUACUAGCUACGCACCUCGAGUUUCCUUGAGACUGUGCUUGGGAUGCUCCUGAGUUCAUUUUUAAUAGACUCAGGUUCUUCCAAACUCCCUUCACCUCUAAAAUUCUUCUUGCACGCCCUUGAGACAGCAAACCCCCACUGCUGUUCUCACACAGAUGGACCCACAUGCACCAGCAUCACCCAUUGUGGCUUCUGUGGCUUUGCCUUAGCUAAAUAAAUGUCUUGCCCUCACCAUUUGAAGUGUUCCCAGUGGAAGAGUGAGGUAAGCUUAUUCUGCUGUCUAAAACAAGCAGGGAGUUUUUCUAAAGGAUGACCUCCAUGUGUCUGUGUAUAUACAGACACACACACACAUGCAAGCAGGAAUGCCCAUGAAAAAAAACAACCCUGUUAUGAGGCUCAAAUUUUAGUAAAUCUCCUGUAGACUUCAUUAAGAUUUGGGCUGGAUUUGGCUCUGAGCAUCAAACUCCAUCUGCUCCCCUCAAAAGAUCUUUGUUAACCAUGUUUUCAUGUUGUAGGGACUGAGGAAAGCAGAUACACAGAGACCCUUUUGCCCUAGACUACUCCCAUGCCCCUCUUAAAACUUGGGGUAAAUGAAGAGCAAAGCAGGUCUGAGUUACUGAAGUGCAUUUAGAGUUGUUCGGAGCCACUGUCGCUGAGGCAGGGCUGUGGCAAUUUACCCUUGCAAAGCAUUUUCUCUCUUUCCCCAUCCUCAUUAAGGAUUUCAAAUGGAGUUUGCUCUGCUCAAAGCCUUUCACUCCCUCAGAUUCAGCAGAGAGGACAAAUCCAGCAGAAACAAAAAAAAACCCCAACACCACCCAAGCCAAAUUAAAACAAUAAAAGAAAACAAAGCUCAAAGAUUGCAAAACCACAACUGGUUUGGACCUGUUGGCCUCUUCUGCUUCUCAUCCCCCUUCCUUAUCUCUCCCUCUGCCCUUUCCCUUCCCCUUUUAAACCACAGGCAGCAACAACCCAGUCAUUUAUCAGUGUCUUGAGAGCAUUAGUGUCCCCCCAUUGCCUCUUCCCCCUCUCCCAAA